AAACUUAUUACACUUUUUUUUUUAGAUGAUGUAAAAGUUUCUUUCCUUAAUUAAACUGGAUAUAAAUGCUGUGCCAGGUAUUUGUUUCCCGCACGAAUGGUGAAAAAUACUCUACUGUGCUCUGUCCAAGGAUCCCAGACGUUCUGAAAGAAAGUCAAGUUUCAGGGAUUGGAUCUUGGGACUGGAAUCUGAACGGGGAUAAUUCUACAUAUCAUGCCCUUUUUCCAAGGGCUUGGUCUGUUUACGACGGUGAACCUGAUCCAGCUCUCAAAAUAGUCUGUCGUCAAAUUUCGCCUUUUAUUCCCCAUAAUUACAAGGAGAGCAGCCUACCUGUUUCAGUUUUUUACUUACACGAUAUAUAAUUCUGGGAAGACUGCAGCUGAUGUCACACUGCUUUUCACUUGGGCAAAUUCUGUUGGAGGGACUUCUGAACUUUCUGGUCAUCACUCCAAUUCAAGAGCAGUGAUGAAGGAUGGCGUGCAUGGCGUACUUCUACAUCACAAGUAAGUUCCCUUUCUUGAUAUAGAUGGAAAAAGAUUCUUGGAAUCAUUUCCUCAAUUUAUGAUGUGUUUGUUAUUUUUCUCUACAUGUAACAA